CUACGUAUAUGUACAUAUAUGUAUGUAUGUAUGUUAUGGCAGUAGAUGGUCCCUAGGAGCAUACAGUUUUGAGAACUUGACUGAGAUGACUCAGAAAACACAGCAAGGCGGUGAAAAUAGCUCUUGCUUGAUAAGGCAUUUGUUUACUGUGCUUACCUCAAGUCAUACCUGCCCUCUUAGAAAGGUGUCACUGUUUAGAGUUAGUCUAAUCUAGAGAGUGACCAUGUGAGCACUUAGAGGUGGGAAUGUUUAUUUGGAAAUAAUAGGCAGAUUCUGGAAUGUUGUAGUAAUGCUUGUGCCUUUGAGUUGCAGUGUGGCCAAAUGUACAGGACAAAACACAAUUCGAAAAUGAACUCCAGCAUUAUUCUGGGAAAGACAAGGGGAAUCUAUGGAAGCUGGUCAUUCUUCCUAGCUCAGACCUGGAGUAGGAUGAUUGGGCUUCCCAAGGGUGGCAGCACCAGCAAGGCUGGCAGCAACUAUCUCCUGUGGAAAGUCAAGGCAGGCAGUGGUAAAGUGCAUUUUAUCACAGUGUGUCCAGGAGACAUUUGAUGGAGCAGAACCCAGCUCUCUGCAUCUGAGCCGGAUCUCCUUGCCAGAGCUCUGCAAGAAUGAUUUUUUGUUUCCGCCCCCACGUUGGCAAGAGAGUCUCAGGCAUCUGAAUGCAGCAGGAUAGGACACAUCUUGUAAAGCACCUCACUCAGUGCUGCUUUUUCUGGAUCAGCCAGCCAUUGACUGAGCAGAGAGUUACAGAAUCUCACAGUCUGCAAGACCAACUGGCAUGGGAUUAAGAAAUCUCAAGAAAGGAACACAACCCUUCCGACACCUGGAUUUUAGUCCAGUGAGAGCCAUGUUGGACUUCUGAUCUUCAGAAUUGUAAGGUAAUAAAUUUGUGUAUAUAUUAGUGCUACAGCUGUCUUUGUUGUCAAGAUGCCUGUUGGGAAUAGUCUUAACUUUGGAAAUUUCUUAGCCCUUGUGCCUCCCUCCUAAUAGAGUCCUUUUGUAGAUAUGCUAUGGCAAGCCCCCUUUGGAGUGUCUUUUAUUUUUCUGUAGCCUGCCCCCUUUUGACUCGCAGAUAAACCACCACAGUCAUGUUUGCACUACAGGAUUGUCCACUUGGUAACAGUUGAUUUGAACAGAAGACAUUACUUGGCUCAAUCUGGACCAAUCUGAAUGUCUUUCCCAGGAGUUUGGGUUGGGUUGAGGGAGGUGUUAGUCUCAGCCUCUGCAUGUGGCUUGAACUGAGGUGGUGUAAACUUGUGGGGUGGCCAUGGAUAUGGAGAAGGUAAAAAUUGGGUCUGUAGGGAGAGGAGCCUGAGGCUCAUGGACAUAGCAGAGCAGAGAUGAGGGUCUGAGAGAAAGACCAAGAAGGUGGUAGCCUUGUUCCUGCUGGCUCUCAGUCAACAUUUGUACCUCUGCUGGGGCCCAGGCAUGUCCUGCUCUGGAUCCACAAGAUAACAUUGUACCAUUAUAAAAAAUGUCCUUUUUUUCCUUAACCUUGCUAAGAGGUUUUCUGUUGCUUGCAAACAGAAGGGGCUUCACUAAAACACCCACUGUGAGGGAGAUGAAUCAAGAAGAUGGGAAGGAGAUUCCAUUAAUGUCAUUUUGAGUCCUCAUUCAUGCUUUAUUCCAAGGAAGUUUAUAGAAAGAUUCAGAGCAACAUGAUUAUUCUGUCAGCCAGGGAGCAUUUUGUGCUUCUACAGCUAUAGCUGGAGCUCGUGGCAGGGCCCACCUUAUGGGGGUUGAGGCUCAUGGCUACAGACUGCUUCUAUAGGCUCUGGCCAAAGGCAUCUGAUUCUCACAUUCAAAAUUAAUGUUGGCCGAGGGGUAUUUUUAAAUCAGGAUUUUAAAAUUUCAGCUGACCUUGCUGCAGCAAGCUUCAUCAUGCAAACAUGGCACUUUAAAGACCCCACCUUAGUGUUUUUCUGUAGUUAUUUAAUUUUAAGAAUAUGCCUGGUAGAGAUUAUGGUUUCUUGGAGGAGAACUUGCAGUCAGAAAUGAUGAUUUCCUAAUUAUCAACUCAUAGAAUUUAAAAAGCAACUGUAAAAAUCAUGUUAUUCAACUCUUUAGUUAUACCGACAAGGAAAUAUGCUCAGAAGGGUUAAAUGGCUUACUUUUGGUCUUGAUUGGGUCUUAUGUAUAUCUAUAUGCAGAAUUACCAAAUUCAUGAUUAUUUAGAGAAUGAAUUAAGUAUCAGAGAACACAGAAGUUUUUGGACUAAAAUAUUUCUAUGAAUACUAACUGAUUUUUAUAAUGCAUAGAAGAUAUUACCUUUCUUUUUAUGAAUUGGAAUUAUUUCUAUAAACCCGAGUAUGCCCAAAGAAAUACAAUUUCUUUGAUGGACUGGAUGUUAUUAACAAGAGGUCAAAGAACCAUAAAGGUAAGUAUCCAUGCAUUCAUUCAUCUCCCUCCCCCUCUCCCUCCCAUCCUCUCUUCUUCCCUUCUUUUCCUUCCUUCUUUUCAAUUAUUUAUUGAGUACUUACCAUAUAUCUAACAAUUUCUAAAACCUGGAGAUACAAUAGAAUCAUAUGCCUUCAUGUGGUCUUCCUCUAAUGGAGACUGCCUUUGUGGUGCUUACAUUUAAGUUGGGAAGAACGGAAAGUCAACAUGUAAAAAAAUUUAUGAGAUAGUUUUGGACAAUGAUAAAGUGCUAUGAAGAAAAUAAAAAGUGGUGACAUCAUAGAGAAUAAUAGGCUCUGGAGUAAUAUAGGGUAUAAUUUCUCAGGAUGAGGAGGUAACUUUUAGCUGAUCUAUUUAUUCUAUUCAUCUAUUGUCUAUCUAUCUACCCUAUCUAUCUUCUUUGAUUACAUAAGACAACAUGAUGACUCCUAUUUAUUCUCAGAAAACAGAGAUUAAAUCUCUUUCUCUGGUCACAGAGUUCAUGAUUGUAAAUCCAGUUUUCUUUCCAUUGCGUCAGCUGCCACCUCAAAAGGGAAUUGGAUUGGGAGACUGUUCUCAAAGAAUUCGUAUUCAAGUUGGACAGAGAAAACACAAAGUAUUUUAUGGGAUAGUAUCUCAAAGUACAAGUUGGUUUCUUCUUUUUCUCCACAAUACUCACAAAAUCCCUUUACUUGUAUCCCAAGGACUUCUUCCUUGGCCUCACUCGGUCCCCCAGAGCCCCCACACAUGGACAUGAGACAAAUCAGAAACAAACCCUGCAAAGCUCAACCACUCUUUGGGAAGUGGCUGGUCAGUGUAAGGGAAAGAUUCAUCAGAUGCUCACUUUUAGUGCUCAUUUUCCCCCAUCUGAGAGUCUAUACUGUCAAACCUCAACUGUUACUGAAGCAAACACCGUGUGUCAUCAGUUUCAGCCAGCUGUGAGGAAACUGAGUCACCACUGACUUAUUGCUUUCGUUGCUGGAUGUUGAAUAUCACUAAUCCCAAGGAGUCUUUUCUUGUCCGGUGGGCAGUCAUGCUUGUCUAUAUGAGACGAUUUGUCUGGAUCUGACCUAUUCUGUCUGCUAGCCCAGGAGGAUGCAAACUCUGCUGACAAGGAAGGGAAGGGAAGACUCAGGACCUUGAGAGAUGAUGGUACAUGAAGGGGAAGCUUCAGUUCUGAACAAGAUAAGGCUAGAUAUCCUCAGAAAUCACUAGUUGUAUUGUUUAUUGUCAUAUUGGUUACCUAUUGCAACAAUAAUGCCUCAUAACAAACCACCUCACAUAUCAGUGGCUUAACACAAUAAGCAUUUAUUUAGUCUGUGGGUUGGUGACAUAGGCUGGACUUGGCUGAGUUGCUCUGGUCUCAGCUAGGCUCAUUCCUAUGUCUGGCAUUGGGCUUUUGGGUCAUCUAAGAUUGUUCCUGCUGGGAUGACUGGGCCCACUCAGCUCUUCACAUGUCUCUCAUUUAGUAGGCCAGCCAUGCAUGUUCUCAUGGCAGUUGUAGAAGACCAAGAGCAAUCAAGGUCAACUGUGCAGCCAUCUUAUUGGCCAAUCAGGUCUCAUGACUAAGCCCAGAGUCAGCAUGGAAGAGAACUGCAGAUUUACUUUACAAAGAACAUGGAUUCAAGGAGAGGCGAAGACUGAAUUGAGGCUAUUAAUACAAUGAGUAACACCAUGGGUUAUACAGGGUUGGAAUGUUAAGGGUUAAUUAUCUACCAAACAGUCUGGGCAUAGUUUGAAGGGUAGAUUGGAGUAGGGAGAAACUAGAGGCAGGGAGCAUGGACAGGAACUUUUCUGGGAGAACAAUAGCAAUGCCAGAAUCUAGGGUGACUGGGAAAAUGGGAGUGGAGCGGUGGAAGAUAUUGCCUAACUUGGUUAUGCGAUGAAUGGAGAAGGGCAGGGGCAGUGCAAAGGAGAUGGAGGAGGCAAGUUGACUCAGAAGUCAGUGAUCUGGAGGGUGAUAAUAACCCAACAGGCAGGUAACCCUCUCAUGAGAAGUAGGCGAAGGCCUGAAGAUAACUUGUGAAAGAAGAGAGAAGCUUGGUGACAUGAGUAGGUCAGGUAUGUGGGAGACAGAGCAGCAGGAAAGCAAUGUGAUGGGAGGGUUGUCUGAUGACAGCUGUAAGGCAGGUGGGAGGAUAAUGACUGUGAGUGCUGGAGGUGUGGUAAGGCCAGGAGCUUGAAGCUCAUGGACCAUAAUUUGGAUUCACCAUGUUGGAGAAUUGAGAGUUUUCCAGGACUCUGAGGAGAGUUUGUAUGUCUUCCUCAGUUUCCCUCCAGUGCCCUUAAGGCUGGAGCCUUAUCUAAGCAUCAUGCUCGAGGAGACCCCUGCAUAGGUGGAGGCAUUAUGAUGUGCCCAGACCAUGACACUUUGUUUCCCUACGGUUUCCAGGCCCUGCUGCAAGUCUAAUCAAUUAUGUCAGUGCCACUGCCGCCUUUCCCAGCUCACAUUCAGGUGCUCUCUGAGUGUCUCUCUUUCUUUUUAUCCUAUCUAGUUCAAUAAACAAUUGUAAAAUCUGGCAAUCAGGAUGAAGCCAAGCAUUCUAAAUCUUAAUUUAUUUUUCUGUUUUUCCAAUAAAAAGGUCGUCUCAAGACACCCAAAGUGGAAAGUAUUUUGAAUUACUUUCUUUGACUGACUGUCUUGAAUUCCUCAGGAUCACUGUUGAUAACAUUCAGAAUGAUUUCUGGGACACAGCACUAGGCUUAAAAUAGUUUGAAAGCUUCUGCGGCAACCACCUGAUAUGAGAAGUGAUUUGUUACCCCUGUUAAGGAAGAAUCAGAUGUCAUGUUAUACAAGGUUAAUGAGCAACAACUGUUUCAUAGCUUGAGCACGGCCCAUACUGCAGAACCUCGUUUCUCCCUGCUCCGGAGAGAGCUGCAGUCUUGUAGGUAAAAUAGAAGUUACUAAAUACAGACAUUAUUUUUUGUAUGUCUUAGGUCCGCCCAAUCCAUCUUUGUCUCCUUUGUCCUUGUGAGGCACCUCCUGCCAUUUGAAGUAAACUGAGUCUCUGUAAAGGGCCAACUUGUUUCCACAUUGUCAAGGAGACCAGAAAAUAGAACCUGGGUAGCAAAACAAAGCUUUUGUGGGAGUGGGUGUUGCUUGAAUGUGGAAAAUCUGAAAACACGUAGAUUUCCUGCUCCUUCCCGGAGCUGACUUCUGCUGGGGUUUGCUACUGGAAGACUGAUGCAUUUCUCUUCUCUUCAGUCUAACAUUAACCAGCCAUUGUGUAAUCACCAAUCAUGAAAUAACUGGUUCUAUGCGAAUAGUUCACAAAGUAUGGUCUGUGGGCCUGAGGCAUCAGAAUCACUUGUAUAAAAAUCUCUGGGUCUGGGUCUUGGGAAUCUACCUUUUUUUUUUGGCAUGCAUUCCAGGUAAUCUCAUACUCCUUGAUGGAUAAGAAUUCGCUAUCCUAAGGGGCAAGUGUACAUUUAUUUGUUAUUAAUUAUAUGCUUCAAAAGAACAGAUAGCAGCAGCAAAUGAUUAAAAAUGUGAUCCUUGCUCGUGGCUCUGUAAAACAGUCUAAGCUGACUUCAGACUUGAAGGCAUUAUCUCACAGUCAUUUUUCAUUUCAUCUUUGGUUGUUUUAGCAGAGUGUGGUGGAGAUGACUAGUUAUUCACCCACAAUUCAUUCUCUCCCUUGCAUGUAACACACAGGUGUUGCUGGGAAGUGGCUGCCCAGUCAUGGACUAUGUGGCUAACUUGAAUCUAGGAAUGGCCUAGUGACUAGUACUCCCAACGGAAUGGAGCUGAAAUCAUGUGGCCAUUUCUUCCCCUUCUGCCUGAGUGAAGAGUAUUCUGAGGCCCAAAUAGGGGAUAAUUGGGUUGCUGAAUCACCAUGUGCCAUGAGUACCUGCUCUAGACUUUUACCUGAGUGAGAAGUAAGCUUUCAGAGUGUUGAGCCCCUGAGAUUUUGAGAUGUUAACAGCUUUUGUUACUCCAGGUAAUUCGUGGAGUUUGGCCUAUUAUUUAGGUAGUUCUAGAUGAGAACUAUGUUCUUUCCCAGCUCAGAUUUCAAAUACAUACGGUUUGUUCAAACAACAUAGUCCUCUGCUGAAAAGUAGGGAAUCAUCUCUUUGGGGAAAGAGCACCAGUCUUAGAAUUAGGAAAGUGGGUCCAAGUCCAAGUUCUGCCACUUACUGGCUGUGUAGUUUUAGACAAAUCACUCAAUUAUUCUGCGCCUCAGCUUCUUCCAUUAUUUAGAGAGAAUAAUAAUACUGUAUUAUUUGCCUCUCAAGGUGUGUGUGAAGGUCAUGCAUUCACUCUUGAAAACACUUUGUAAAUUAUGAAGUGCAUUAUACAAAUGAGAGGGAUGACUUGGUUCUUUUUUUUACAGAGCUAGAAUUAAAUACUAUUUUCUGGCUUCAGUAUUUUCAAUAGCUUCCCGAGUUUCAGCUUUGUCCUUUAGAAAAUAGGGAUAAUAAAGCCUACUUGGGUUAUUGUGAGGAUAAAAUGAGAUACUGUACUUGAUGGUGUCUAGCACGACACCCAACAUAUUACAGGAACUCGGAAAAAUGUUAGCCCCUUUCCCUGCAGCACUGUGUGCUUGGGGGAGGUGAUUCAGGGAGAGUCCAUGUAGACUGAUGAUAAAUACGAACCGAGUUCUCCUUUUGCUUAUGUUUUACUUACCUCUGUAGACUGGAGAGAUCACUUUCUCUGUAUCAUAUGUCCCAUUCUCCCCUGAACUUGAUGGUGGCCCCAUGGCAGCAGGAAACGUGGCCACAGAGGAGCCGUGGGCCUGUUUGUAGUGUUGCCUGCUUCCAUUUCUUCUCCCAAAAAGUUGGGAACUCUAGUCAUGGUGAGUCUGAUGGGGUACCUUCUGAAGUCUCUGGCCAGCCAGAGCCCUGAAAUUCAGACCUCGUGUUCCUGAAUGCUUUCUCACCUGCAGCUCUUCCCCUUGAAACUCGUCUUUUCCCUGUUCCGUCUUCACUUGGCUUAUUCUUUACCGUGGAAUCUUCUUAACUUGGACUAUCCUCAAUCUAAUUCACUUGACUAGAAGUUCAAGACACAGAAAUGUGAUUCUAAAAUAAGUUUUUACAAUGGUAAUGAUAAUUCCUGCAGUUUAUUUCUAUACUGUGCUACCAUUUUCAAACUACUUUCACCUGAGUAAUUUUGUUUGUUCACUAUUGGUUUUCAUGGACUCACAGAAGCCAUUCUUUCCUUUGCUUGUCUUAGGUGCAUUUAUUGGGCGUCAUACCAUGGCAGGCUGCUGGGAGGAUGGGGUAUAGUAGGGUGUAGGGG
rnacentral:lncRNA from 1 species